GGAUGUGAGGGCAAUCUGGAUGUGACAUCUGUCACUGUGUUGAUCAGCAGGGUUAAUCUGGCUAUCUAGACUGGUGUUCUCUUAUACCCUUACUCCUCCAUGGACAUCCCUUCCAGGGCUGCACGCUUGGUUGAAGAGGAAGACCUUCCCCAAACACAAGAGGACUGGUCUUCAGUCAAGGGUGUUCAAGUAGGUGUGGUCCCCCUGCUAGACACUUCAAACAAGUUUUCAAUUAUUUUGGUAUUGGCUGCUUUUCUUGUUGCCAUAACAAAAUACCUGACAAAAGCAACUUAAGGAAGGGUUUGUUUUCACC
rnacentral:snRNA from 1 species